rnacentral:rRNA from 1 species
UUAAGCGACUAAGCGUACACGGUGGAUGCCCUGGCAGUCAGAGGCGAUGAAGGACGUGCUAAUCUGCGAUAAGCGUCGGUAAGGUGAUAUGAACCGUUAUAACCGGCGAUUUCCGAAUGGGGAAACCCAGUGUGUUUCGACACACUAUCAUUAACUGAAUCCAUAGGUUAAUGAGGCGAACCGGGGGAACUGAAACAUCUAAGUACCCCGAGGAAAAGAAAUCAACCGAGAUUCCCCCAGUAGCGGCGAGCGAACGGGGAGCAGCCCAGAGCCUGAAUCAGUGUGUGUGUUAGUGGAAGCGUCUGGAAAGGCGCGCGAUACAGGGUGACAGCCCCGUACACAAAAAUGCACAUGCUGUGAGCUCGAUGAGUAGGGCGGGACACGUGGUAUCCUGUCUGAAUAUGGGGGGACCAUCCUCCAAGGCUAAAUACUCCUGACUGACCGAUAGUGAACCAGUACCGUGAGGGAAAGGCGAAAAGAACCCCGGCGAGGGGAGUGAAAAAGAACCUGAAACCGUGUACGUACAAGCAGUGGGAGCACGCUUAGGCGUGUGACUGCGUACCUUUUGUAUAAUGGGUCAGCGACUUAUAUUCUGUAGCAAGGUUAACCGAAUAGGGGAGCCGAAGGGAAACCGAGUCUUAACUGGGCGUUAAGUUGCAGGGUAUAGACCCGAAACCCGGUGAUCUAGCCAUGGGCAGGUUGAAGGUUGGGUAACACUAACUGGAGGACCGAACCGACUAAUGUUGAAAAAUUAGCGGAUGACUUGUGGCUGGGGGUGAAAGGCCAAUCAAACCGGGAGAUAGCUGGUUCUCCCCGAAAGCUAUUUAGGUAGCGCCUCGUGAAUUCAUCUCCGGGGGUAGAGCACUGUUUCGGCAAGGGGGUCAUCCCGACUUACCAACCCGAUGCAAACUGCGAAUACCGGAGAAUGUUAUCACGGGAGACACACGGCGGGUGCUAACGUCCGUCGUGAAGAGGGAAACAACCCAGACCGCCAGCUAAGGUCCCAAAGUCAUGGUUAAGUGGGAAACGAUGUGGGAAGGCCCAGACAGCCAGGAUGUUGGCUUAGAAGCAGCCAUCAUUUAAAGAAAGCGUAAUAGCUCACUGGUCGAGUCGGCCUGCGCGGAAGAUGUAACGGGGCUAAACCAUGCACCGAAGCUGCGGCAGCGACGCUGAUGCGUUGUUGGGUAGGGGAGCGUUCUGUAAGCCUGCGAAGGUGUGCUGUGAGGCAUGCUGGAGGUAUCAGAAGUGCGAAUGCUGACAUAAGUAACGAUAAAGCGGGUGAAAAGCCCGCUCGCCGGAAGACCAAGGGUUCCUGUCCAACGUUAAUCGGGGCAGGGUGAGUCGACCCCUAAGGCGAGGCCGAAAGGCGUAGUCGAUGGGAAACAGGUUAAUAUUCCUGUACUUGGUGUUACUGCGAAGGGGGGACGGAGAAGGCUAUGUUGGCCGGGCGACGGUUGUCCCGGUUUAAGCGUGUAGGCUGGUUUUCCAGGCAAAUCCGGAAAAUCAAGGCUGAGGCGUGAUGACGAGGCACUACGGUGCUGAAGCAACAAAUGCCCUGCUUCCAGGAAAAGCCUCUAAGCAUCAGGUAACAUCAAAUCGUACCCCAAACCGACACAGGUGGUCAGGUAGAGAAUACCAAGGCGCUUGAGAGAACUCGGGUGAAGGAACUAGGCAAAAUGGUGCCGUAACUUCGGGAGAAGGCACGCUGAUAUGUAGGUGAAGUCCCUCGCGGAUGGAGCUGAAAUCAGUCGAAGAUACCAGCUGGCUGCAACUGUUUAUUAAAAACACAGCACUGUGCAAACACGAAAGUGGACGUAUACGGUGUGACGCCUGCCCGGUGCCGGAAGGUUAAUUGAUGGGGUCAGCGCAAGCGAAGCUCUUGAUCGAAGCCCCGGUAAACGGCGGCCGUAACUAUAACGGUCCUAAGGUAGCGAAAUUCCUUGUCGGGUAAGUUCCGACCUGCACGAAUGGCGUAAUGAUGGCCAGGCUGUCUCCACCCGAGACUCAGUGAAAUUGAACUCGCUGUGAAGAUGCAGUGUACCCGCGGCAAGACGGAAAGACCCCGUGAACCUUUACUAUAGCUUGACACUGAACAUUGAGCCUUGAUGUGUAGGAUAGGUGGGAGGCUUUGAAGUGUGGACGCCAGUCUGCAUGGAGCCGACCUUGAAAUACCACCCUUUAAUGUUUGAUGUUCUAACGU